ACCGAUCCCCUUAUUAUACUGGGUUCGAGCACGGGGGCAACCUUACUCGCGAUCGAGCUAGUUUUUGAACGUGACAGCAUCUUUGACAGUGUGUUUCAGGUUUGUUUUGGAAUGUCUUCUGCUUAGUUCAAGUAGUUUGCGAUGGCUUCGAGCGGUGCUGAACCUCCUGCUGGUAGGAGCAGAGUCUCCGAGAGAGACAUGGACUGUGAUGCAGCUGUAGGAUUUUUUCAAGGCGCGGGAGGGAACGAUCUCGGGCCACAAACAGGAGUUACUCCAGAGAGCCAUCUUCUAUGAAGGUAACCGUGGUGCUGCCAAGUCACCAAGUCGCGAUCGCGAUCAGCAGCCCUGAAGUGGAAAAAUCGAUUUUCCAACGAUCUGGUUGGACAUCAGCCACUAAAGUACUUCUGAUUUGCCUGUAGUGACAACAGCAGCCAUCCUUGGACACCUUGCAAAGACAGGAAAAGCCACUGGUGGAAGCGACUGCUAUGAGGUGACGAUAGCAGUGCAGUGGUGAUCGCUGUUUUGUCAAGUCGAAGGGCUAGCCAACCCAGAGGAAGCAAAAAAACCGAUGAGCAGUGCGUGGUAUUUGUUGAGCGUGAAGAGCUAGAGGAGGAUAGUGCAAACACAUGGACGGAGUGGAUGGUGUUUGAAGAACAGUGUGCUGUGUGCCGGCUGGUGGUGAUGGUGGUCUUUGUCAGCAUGUAUUCGUGCUGCUUCUUGUGGUGGAACACUUCUCGCCCAGGAAGGCAGAUUGCGUGCUCCCUGGCCCUCAGUCGGCAAUGGGGCAUUUGUUCCAGGAACAUUACCCCAGAGCCAGUGAUGAGUCGUACCUUUGAAAAGUUUGAAGCUUGCUGUUAAUCGCAAGCGUAGCGCA